GAUGAACGCUAGCUACAGGCUUAACACAUGCAAGUCGAGGGGCAGCAUGGUCUUAGCUUGCUAAGGCCGAUGGCGACCGGCGCACGGGUGAGUAACACGUAUCCAACCUGCCGUCUACUCUUGGACAGCCUUCUGAAAGGAAGAUUAAUACAAGAUGGCAUCAUGAGUCCGCAUGUUCACAUGAUUAAAGGUAUUCCGGUAGACGAUGGGGAUGCGUUCCAUUAGAUAGUAGGCGGGGUAGCGGCCCACCUAGUCUUCGAUGGAUAGGGGUUCUGAGAGGAAGGUCCCCCACAUUGGAACUGAGACACGGUCCAAACUCCUACGGGAGGCAGCAGUGAGGAAUAUUGGUCAAUGGGCGAGAGCCUGAACCAGCCAAGUAGCGUGAAGGAUGACUGCCCUAUGGGUUGUAAACUUCUUUUAUAAAGGAAUAAAGUCGGGUAUGGAUACCCGUUUGCAUGUACUUUAUGAAUAAGGAUCGGCUAACUCCGUG
rnacentral:rRNA from 1 species